AUACCGGGCCUUUUUGGGCUUGGUAAUUGGAAUGAGGGAGAGUUAAACGGACCAUCGAGUAUCCAUUGGAGGGCAAGUCUGGUGCCAGCAGCUGCGGUAAUACCAGCUCCAAUAGCGUAUAUUAAAGUUGUUGCAGUUAAAAAGCUCGUAGUUGGACUUGUGUGCGCUGUCCGCGGGUGGCCUGCGCCCAAAAGGGCGUUUCGGUUCGGCCCCGGUGGCGCCUUGAAAUCUGCAGCUGGGGGGACGUUGGCCUUAACUGGUCGGCGACCGCACACCGGCUGCUCGGUUACUGUGAGAAAAUUAGAGUGUUCAAGGCAGGCAUUGGGUGCAAUUGAAUACAUUAGCAUGGAAUAAUAAAAUAUGGCUCCUGCCGUAUUUUGUUGGUUUUGACUGGUGGGAGUAAUGAUUGAUAGGGACGGUUGGGGGUGCUAGUAUUGAGCGGCCAGAGGUGAAAUUCAUGGAUUCGCUCAAGACUAACUUAUGCGAAAGCAUUCACCAAGGACGUCCUCUUUAAUCAAGAACGAAAGUUGGGGGAUCGAAGACGAUCAGAUACCGUCGUAGUCUCAACCAUAAACUAUGUCGACUUGGGAUCGGCGGUAGUUUUUUCAUUAAGACACUGUCGGGACCACGGGAGAAAUCAAAGUGUCUGGACUCUGGGGGAAGUAUGGUCGCAAGGCUGAAACUUGAAGGAAUUGACGGAAGGGCACCACCAGGAGUGGAGCCUGCGGCUUAAUUUGACCCAACGCGGGGAAACUUACCAGGUCCAGAGAUGUAGAGGAUUGACAGAUUGAAGCUCUUUCUUGAUCACUUCGGUGGUGGUGCAUGGCCGUUCUUAGUUGGUGGAGUGAUUUGUCUGGUUAAUUCCGUUAACGAACGAGACCUCAGCCUGCUAGUGUAGUCGGCUGGAUUGCCUUUGGCGAUCCGUGAUUUCGACUUCUUAGAGGGACAAUCGACGCGCAGUCGAUGGAAGUUUGAGGCAAUAACAGGUCUGUGAUGCCCUUAGAUGUUCUGGGCCGCACGCGCGCUACACUGCUGGGCUCAGCGAGUUUUACUUGGCCGAGAGGCCCGGUUAAUCUUGUGAAAUCCCAGCGUGCUUGGGCUCGCCUCCUGCAACUGGAGGCGCCAACGAGGAAUUCCUAGUAGACGCAGGUCACCAACCUGCAUCGAUUACGUCCCUGCCCUUUGUACACACCGCCCGUCGUUCCAUAAGAGUGAGGCAUCCGGUGAAUUCUCGGGAGAGCCUGGGCGUGGCCAGCAAUGGUCUGCUCGGGUUUGAACUUGCAUAAACUUGGUGCCUAUGAUUAGGG
rnacentral:rRNA from 1 species